AGGCGGGCCGCGCACGACGACGUCUGGGGAACGCGCGCGCCUCCGCGGGGCCAGGCCGGGCGUCGCUGCUGCUGGUGGCGUCUGAGUCUGAAGGCUUGGCGAGAAGGUCUUGCGGCGGCGUGUCGGGCUGUUGGUAUCGUGGCUGCAGAGGCCACCCGCCCCUGGUCAUGAGAGAAGACAGAGUCCUGAAGCAGAGACAUCUUAGAGAAAAACUAUUCCAGGGCCAUGCAAGCCAGCUGUAGUCAACUGCAUGAUCCUCCAGGCACGGCAAGUGAUGAUGCGCCAGCCUCCCAGUGCGUUCACCCAUCAAGAUCAACAGAAGGUUCUUCUUUCCACCCUGGAGACAUACAUAUCCAAAUAAACUCCGGACCUAAAGAAUAUCCUGAAAAUCCGAGCUCUAGAAAUGCAAGGUCAGGUGCCUGUAGCUGUGCCCACGGAUGUGCACAUACUCGCUUCCGGAGUCACUCCCACAGUGAAGCAAGGCCACCUGAGGACUUUGCCACAGAAUCUGGAGAACAUGGAAGUGGCUCCUUCUCAGAGUUACGCUAUCUCUUCAAGUGGCUGCAAAAAAGUCUUCCUUAUAUUUUGAUUCUUGGUAUUAAACUUGUUAUGCAGCAUAUAACAGGAAUUUCUCUUGGAAUUGGGCUGCUAACAACUUUUAUGUAUGCAAACAAAAGCAUUGUAAAUCAGGUUUUUCUAAGAGAACGGUCAUCAAAGAUUCAGUGUGCUUGGUUAUUGGUGUUCCUGGCAGGUUCUUCUAUUCUUUUAUAUUACACCUUUCAGUCUCAAUCACUUUAUUACAGCUUAAUUUUCUUAAAUCCUACACUGGAUCAGUUGAGCUUCUGGGAAGUUCUUUGGAUUGUUGGAAUUACAGACUUCAUUCUAAAAUUCUUCUUCAUGGGUUUAAAAUGCCUAAUUUUAUUGGUGCCUUCUUUCAUCAUGCCUUUUAAAUCAAAGGGUUAUUGGUACAUGCUUUUAGAAGAAUUAUGUCAGUGUUACCGAAUUUUUGUCCCCAUACCAGUUUGGUUUCGGUACCUUAUAAGUUAUGGGGAGUUUGGUAAUGUAACUAGAUGGAGUCUUGGGAUAUUGCUGGCUUUACUCUACCUCAUAUUAAAACUUUUGGACUUUUUUGGACACUUGAGAACUUUCAGACAGGUUUUACGAGUAUUUUUUACACGACCAAGUUAUGGAGUGCCUGCCAGCAAGAGACAGUGUUCAGAUGCAGAUGGUAUUUGUUCAAUAUGUCAAGCUGAAUUUCAGAAGCCAGUUCUUCUCAUUUGUCAGAGGUAACUUCAGUUGGAGAAUUUCUGUACACCUUAGUGUGAUAUGAAGGCUUCAGAGAUGAAACAAGCUUGGUCUCUCCUGACUGACUCUGACGUGCAUAAGGAAUUUUAUGGCUUGGAUCCUAUGAAGAACAUAGCAAGAGCAUCUACGUAAAGAAACCCUAGGGCUGCAACUAUACCAAAUGAGCUGCACAGACUGGAGACAUAAAGACCAACAAAGCGAAGUGACAAGACUCGCAGUGUGACCAUCUACCUAGACCAGUAUGCACUGAAGCAUAUUUUAUAAAGCUCUGCAGUUAUUAAACCGUCUCACCAGCUAGUCAUGGAAAUGCUCCUUAAGGCAGGAAGUAUUUAAGAAAGGUAAAGUUACCUUUAUUUUUAUUCUUUGUACCUGUAAAUCACUUAUGUAGAUUUUGUUACAUUUUCAAAAACAAUGUCUGGUUAACAUGUUUCCUAAAUUAAGCCACUAAGUUUUCUUAUUCACUAUGGAAGACAUUCAUCAAAAGGCCAUCAAAUAUUUUUACAAUUAAAAAAUGUAGCCCCAGAAUAAGAGGGAAAAAACACCAUUUUUUCUUUUAAACUCUUGAGGGAAAAAAUGUUAAGGAAGGUAAACAGCAAAAAUAGUACAAAGUAAAACUGAAAACCUUCCCCAUAUGCUGAGAAGAGACUGACUGAGGGUGGACCAUGGCAACCCUCUUCCCUGCAGGUCUCUAUCUCUCCUGCUUACUGCCCUAGCUAUGCACUUUAGCCUGACUUUCUUCUGUCUUUCCUCGGCCGUGGGCUUGACCCAAAUACUGGCAUAAGAACAGGUGGCGAUUUUUUUCCAGUGCAGUGCAGGCCCAGGGCAAGGAUGCAAUGUAGAACAUAUAACUUCUGCCUUUCCCAAGGCUUGCAGUUACGCCUAGCACACAACAGUACUGCAAGUAGAAAUGAUUAAACAGAUUUUUUUCUUCUAGUAUUACAGAAAAGUAUUGCAGCUAGGUUACUAAAACAAAAACAAAAGACGCCCCAGGUUUACCCCAAGCCCUCGUAAGAGCCACAGCUGUGGUUAACAAUGGUUCAUUUGUAUUUUAUUUCAUCAAGAGAAGAAACAGAAGCUGGCUUUCUUCAUACCAACCAAUAAUUUUGCAUUUUAAAGUUUGGGAUGUUUUCCAUAAUGAGCUGAAUCAAAAA